AAGUGAGAUGGAAAUCGGUUUGCGUCACAAGUGUCAGAAUCUUACCAGGAUAAACAAAGAGGAUUUUAAAUUAAGUGAAGGAGUAAAGAGGAGUUUUGUGUAAGCAGUGAAAAUAAGCUACUGAGCUACUGAAGAAACAACACCGUGUCAUAUUACAGCUAUCUGUCUAUGAUGAAGCUGAACCUUUUACUUCUGGGCCUCACUGGUCUCAUCCCAUUUGUCUCAUCCCUAUCUAACAUAAGAACUGUCCGUCACGAUUAUCACCUGGUCAUGGAAACAUAUACAUGGCCAGUGGCUCAGAAUUACUGCAGGGUGAUGUACACUGACAUGGCAACAAUCAUAACCGAUGAUGAUUGGUUACGACUAAACAAAGAAGCAGUAAGAAAAGGCUUCAUGUCGUACGUCUGGAUUGGAUUGUACAAUGAUGUCAAUAGCUGGCGCUGGUCCUUAAACGAGCUCCCACUGAAGAAUGUCAUUUAUACCAACUGGCUGUCUGGAAAGCCUGAUAAUUAUGCUGCGAGGGAAUCAUGUGGGGUAAUUAUUACAUAUGGAGCCUGGGAUGAUGGUGUAUGUGCAAGUCCAAAACCCUUUAUAUGUUACAAUGCAAAUUUCGAUGGUGCUUCCAAGUUCAUUGGCAUCUCUAGUCUUUAUCUGACCUGGCUUGAUGCUCAGGCUUACUGCCGAACACAUCACACAGACUUGGCCAGCUCUCUUAACAGCUCAGAUAACGACUUCCUAUGGCAGCUGAGGGAUAUCCAGGGGGAUUCCUGGUUUGGACUCUACAGAGAUACGUGGAGGUGGUCAGAUGGGACCAUCGCUUCAAACCUACCAUGGGUUUCUGGAGAACCUAAUAACUAUUAUGGCAAUGAGAACUGUGUAUCACAUAUUAACAAAGUGUUUAAUGAUUUUUUAUGCGACACGCCAGCCUACUUCUACUGUCACACCAGUGAGAAGUUUGUCCUUAUACUGUUUACUUUAAUAUGAAGUCGAUGGAGAUGUCAAGGAAUUCUAAUAUAAGUAUGGGAUGUUUUUGGCACGUUGUUCAGGCUCUCUCUGUAUGUGUGUGUGUGUGUGUUUGUGUGUGUGUGUGUUUGUGUGUGUUUGUUCCACAGUUCCACUGGUGAGGGAACAGCAGAUUGUGAGACUGCAGGUGAAGACUGAUGGCAGUGUGUUAGAUCCUGCUGUACAGUCGUCUCUUUUAAAGCAGAUAAUGCAGAAACUGGAGGAGCAUGGCAUGAUGGAGAACACCACAGUGACCUGGAGGGUGCAGCCAGAUGGAAACAUCUUCCUCAAGAAAAACAAAGACGAUCUGUAACAUCUAAAUCAGGGGACGUCAAACCCAAAUACUAGUUUUGAGAUACGCUAAAAAGCUGUAACUGACGUCUUUUUAUUUAUUUAUUUAUUUAUUUAUUUAUUUAUUUAUUACAUAUUUAAUGUAUUCUUUCAGCUAACACUAAUGACCCACAGUAUCAAUAGAAUUUCUAUAGGAAACUUUUACCAUUUAAGUUCUGGUUAAAACGGAACGACACAGUGAGCUUCUGGUUUUUAGACAUGAGUGUGAUUUACAUCAAGCACAGCACAUUAUUUUGUAGAUGUGUGAUUUGUGACAUAAUUUACUCUUAACAGUUUCCUUUAUAUGAGUGUACAAAGUCAAACUGAAACGCAAAGUCCAUUUACAUUUUAUUUACAAAUCAGUCAGAAAAAGAAGUGACAUCCAAAUCCACCCAACACUGACUCAUCAUCAAGCCAGUCACAGUAGAACCCAGAGUUUAUAUAAAUGUGACUUUUUAUGGUAACUUGGCUACACUAUAGAUCUGCUGUAAAAUCUGGAUAGUGUGUAGAUGUUCAGCAGCAGUGCAUUAUGGGCCUUUUUCACCUUUAUUCUUCAUGCAUGCCAAAACGAUUGAGGCUCUGGGCUGGAUUUAGUGUGUAGUGUAGUCCUUGUGUUUGGAACAUGUGGUUUAAAUGCGGAUAUGUAAUCUAUA